rnacentral:ncRNA from 2 species
ACAGAUCGUCGCGGGAGCUUGGGGCAACCAGGCUGAGAGGGCAGAUACCGCUGCUGCCGACCGCCUGAACCUGUCCGGGUAAUGCCGGCGUAGGGAGUGUGCGAUGUCGCAUG